CAGACUAACUAACAAUAGGUUAAAAGACUUUGCUAUUCUCAUUGAAGGAGACUGUGGGAGCCCCCUGCUUCAGCAAGGACAGCAGGAGAUGUGAGGU